rnacentral:snoRNA from 1 species
UUUAAGGCCUAUCCUGAUGGCAUUCCUGGGCAUCACACAUCUUUGGAAUUGCCUUGUACACUAACUCUGUGGUUUUGCUUUGCACUUGGGACUUUCUUCGAUCUAUGGGGGAAAAAAAAACUGUAAGACACUU